rnacentral:rRNA from 1 species
GACGAACGCUGGCGGCGUGCUUAACACAUGCAAGUCGAACGGUAAGGCCCUUCGGGGUACACGAGUGGCGAACGGGUGAGUAACACGUGGGUGAUCUGCCCUGCACUUCGGGAUAAGCCUGGGAAACUGGGUCUAAUACCGGAUAGGACCACUGCCUGCAUGGGUGGUGGUGGAAAGCUUUUGCGGUGUGGGAUGGGCCCGCGGCCUAUCAGCUUGUUGGUGGGGUGAUGGCCUACCAAGGCGACGACGGGUAGCCGGCCUGAGAGGGUGACCGGCCACACUGGGACUGAGACACGGCCCAGACUCCUACGGGAGGCAGCAGUGGGGAAUAUUGCACAAUGGGCGCAAGCCUGAUGCAGCAACGCCGCGUGAGGGAUGACGGCCUUCGGGUUGUAAACCUCUUUCAGCAGGGAAGAAGCGAAAGUGACGGUACCUGCAGAAGAAGCACCGGCUAACUACGUGCCAGCCGCCGCCGUAA